rnacentral:rRNA from 1 species
UGACCUCGGAUCAUGGUAG